rnacentral:tRNA from 1 species
GUUUUAGUAAUUUAAAUAAAAAUAUUGGUCUUGUAAACCAACUAUAAGGCAUACUUCUAAAACU